rnacentral:rRNA from 1 species
UACGUAGGGUGCAAGCGUUGUCCGGAAUUAUUUGGGCGUAAAGAGCUCGUAGGCGGUCUGUCGCGUCUGCUGUGAAAACUCAGGGCUUAACCCUGAGCCUGCAGUGGGUACGGGCAGACUCGAGUACUGCAGGGGAGACUGGAAUUCCUGGUGUAGCGGUGGAAUGCGCAGAUAUCAGGAGGAACACCGGUGGCGAAGGCGGGUCUCUGGGCCGAUACUGACGCUGGAGGAGCGAAAGCGUGGGGAGCGAACAGG